CUCUUAUCAAGAGAGGUGGAGGGAUAGGGCCCUACGAAACCCGGCAACCGGUGAGAAAUCACUAUGGUGCCAAUUCCUGCAAGUAUAUAGCUGUUUAGUAGUAUAUAUGUUGCAAGAUAAGAG
rnacentral:ncRNA from 2 species